rnacentral:lncRNA from 1 species
CCUUGGCCUCCCAAAUUUCUGGGAUUACAGGCAUGAGCCACCGAGCGCAGUCCUGACUCUGCUCUUGGGAUACCUGAGAGUACUGUGUUAUAUGAAUAUCUGAUCUACCUAUGGAUUCAGCCGACCUAAAGUUGUUGAAUUCUUAAGCCACCACCCCCUUCUCACCAGCACAAGAUUUACUUUCAGAUCAUCAGUGCGUUAAUUGAACAAAUGGCAAAGAUCUUGCCAAAAUCUGAGAAGAUGUCCUCUGACGUUGCGCUUCUUGCCGCUGCCAUGAGAAGAAGGAUGUUUGCUUCCCCCUCUGCCAUGAUUGUUAAGUUUCCUGAGGCCUCCUGAGCCAUGCUGAACUGUUUCAUUUCAACCCCAUGUUUUGGGAACUGUUUGGAACAGACUAAUCAGCUCUAAAUUCUGGAAUCUUCCACCUUCUUUAUCUUCAAAGGGAUGGUUACAUAUUCUGG